rnacentral:rRNA from 1 species
GACGAACCGUGCGAACGUUGUUCGGAAUCACUGGGCUUAAAGGGCGCGUAGGCGGGCUGUCAAGUCUGGGGUGAAAUCCCUCGGCUUAACCGAGGAACUGCCAUCCAGACUGCUUCGCUUGAGACCGGGAGAGGUGAGUGGAAUUCCCAGUGUAGCGGUGAAAUGCGUAGAUAUUGGGAGGAACACCAGUGGCGAAGGCGACUUUCUGGCCUAUAACUGACGCUGAGGCGCGAAAGCGUGGGGGAGCAAACAGGG